AUGCAGCAAAAUCAUAUACAUCAUCAUCCUUCCUUAUCUAAAAGAAAUUCUCAUCUAUCUCCCGAAUUUUCGACCACAACCUAUAAGUUCCUUCUUUAUAACCCCACAUGUUCACCAACUUACAAAUUUCAGCCAUUGUCCAUUUCUCAUGUGUUGACCAAAAACAAUCGUAUCAACACCCACUUUGUAUAUGAUAUCAUUCUUCUUGACCAUCAUAAAUUCACCCUCAUAGUAAAAAAACUCCAUUAA